rfam:Pristionchus pacificus strain PS312 contig3976, whole genome shotgun sequence.
UCUUCAUUUCUCAUACUCUCUCACCCGUCAGAGAGGCGAGAGAGUGUGGGAAAUGAAGAGA